UAGGGAAUCUUCCACAAUGGACGCAAGUCUGAUGGAGCAACGCCGCGUGAGUGAAGAAGGUUUUCGGACCGUAAAGCUCUGUUGUUGGUGAAGAAGGAUAGAGGUAGUAACUGGCCCUUUAUUUGACGGUAAUCAACCAGAAAGUCACGGCUAACUACGUGCCAGCAGCCGCGGUAAUACGUAGGUGGCAAGCGUUGUCCAGAUUUAUUGGGCGUAAAGCGAGCGCAGGCGGAAGAAUAAGUCUGAUGUGAAAGCCCUCGGCUUAACCGAGGAAUUGCAUCGGAAACUGUUUUCUUGAGUGCAGAAGAGGAGAGUAGAACUCCAUGUGUAGCGGUGGAAUGCGUAGAUAUAUGGAAGAAUACCAGUGGCGAAGGCGGCUCUCUGGUCUGCAACUGACGCUGAGGCUCGAAAGCAUGGUAGCGAACAGGAUUAGAUACCCUGGUAGUCCAUGCCGUAAACGAUGAGUGCUAAGUGUUGGGAGGCUUCCGCCUCUCAGUGCUGCAGCUAACGCAUUAAGCACUCCGCCUGGGGGAGUACGACCGCAAGGUUGAAAC
rnacentral:rRNA from 1 species